rnacentral:rRNA from 1 species
UACGUAGGGUGCAAGCGUUGUCCGGAAUUAUUGGGCGUAAAGAGCUCGUAGGCGGUUUGUCGCGUCGAAUGUGAAAACCCGGGGCUCAACCCCGGGCCUGCAUUCGAUACGGGCAGGCUAGAGUGUGGUAGGGGAGAUCGGAAUUCCUGGUGUAGCGGUGAAAUGCGCAGAUAUCAGGAGGAACACCGGUGGCGAAGGCGGAUCUCUGGGCCAUUACUGACGCUGAGGAGCGAAAGCGUGGGGAGCGAACAGG